GGGAGCCGGGAGUUAACGGGUUGGCAAGCUGCCACAAACUACUUUAAUGGCGGCAAAGGUUUGGCUGGGGAAGCAGAGUCUCUAGGGCAGCAAGGACCUCAGCUGCUGGGGAAAGGCUGUCAGCUACUCAUGUUAUUUCAUUGCUUCUGUAACCUCCCUUCCUGCCACCAGCCUGGGCUGCACUGACUGGGGGAUGGCCCUCACCACAGCACCUAUUUCAGCAGCUUCAGCUGCUUCUGGUGACAAAAAUUUUGAGUGCAGCUCGGCCCUCAAAGGGUCUUUCCGAUGGCCGUUCCUGGCGAGACAUCCUCUUUGUAUAAAACCUGGGGCAUUCAGAAUCAGGACAAUGUUACACAGAAGAAAAGAAAGCCCAGCAAUUCCUGGAGGAAGACUAGGAAACAUGGCUUCUGUGAAAACAAAAGACACUAGAGAAUGUUCUUAGCCGUGUGCCAGAGAAUCUGACAUCUUCCACGUCAGCAUCAGAACUCCUGCCAUAUUUACAACAUGGACAACUUCCCAGAUCUUGAGAUUUCUUUUAAAAUUAUUGUACUGUAGUAAUACAGGAUGAGAAAAACUGGGAAAAUGCUGAUUUAAAAAGACCCCUCUCAUAGGAAACAAAAUCCAUUAAAGAAAUGUAAAGUCAUUUUAUUCAGGGGAAGGAUAAUAGGAGAAAUCACAAUGUCAAGAAGAAAUCCAUCUUCAUGGAGCAAGACAACACAUGUUAUUGCUGUGGGAUUAAAAAAAUUAAAAAGAAAAAAGUUACUCAGUUAGCAGAUUUAAGGUGUUAUUUCAAAUGCUUUCUGGAGUGAUGUUUUUAGAGCAAAGUAUGGGAAAUUUUAUCAAAUAACCUCUAGUAUUAACUGGGGAGGUUAGGUGUUAAUUGUCUGAAUCAACAUGAGGCUAGCAUAUUUUUAAGGAGGAGAAUGCAAGUAUUAGGUUAGCAUUAAAUGGAAAAUAAAUAGUAAAUAUACCGAGCUGAAAUUCUUUUGAUUUUCUUUAACACGCAGUAUUUCUGGCGUGUCUUGAACAACUGUAACUUUUCCUUUACUGUUUUUAAGGUCACACUGGUAUUGGAGCUAUGAAGAAAGAGUAAACAUCUUGUUAAGAUUUCAACAUUUUAAAAUAUAUUUUAAAUUGUCUCUAUUGUGUAAGGGAAGUUAAAAUCCAAAUCAAAACAAAACCCAAACUAUGCCAUAAUAAUCAUAGUCAGAGAGCUGAAGGGAAAUUCUUUAAUAAAAAUGUUGUAAAAUUAUUUUAAAAACCCUAAAAAUGGUAAAGUGUCAAGUUAGAUUUAAAAAAAAUGCAUCCCUGCCUGAAUUAAUUUUGAAAAAGACAGAUGUUGCCACUAAUAGAAGAUGGCGAUAGUUCACAUACAGUGACAAGAAGCCACUAACAAAGCAACAGUGGUAUAUUUCAUGCUGUGAUUUGGGGACUAUAAGGUGAUCUUGAAGAAAAAUGGAGCACAUGUUUCCUGGCCCACAGGUGGGAGUUGCAGAGGGCGGCCCUGCAGCCCCCUCUCGGAGGCAAGGCCCAUUGUCUAUGCCCAGAGGCAUCCACUGUGCCCCCCCAUCCCAGGUAUCAGUGGGCUGUGUCUUAGAGUCAAUAAAAACUUACAAGGCUGAA